AGGCAGUGGAGGCGAUAGCGGCAGCAGCAGCAGGAGAAGCAGCAGCAGCAGCGCUGAGGGACGGAGCGGCGGGGGAUGCGAGGCCCGGAAUCUCCCACAAAGUUAAAUACAUGACUGUAAGAAAGAAGAAAUCUAUAUUGAUAGACUGUACUAUCAAAAACAUUCUCUCCAGUCUGCAAAACCUUCAGCUUUUCUCUAUGCCAUGUUGUGUGACUGUUGUCCCAUGAGGAAUUUGUCUUCAUGAAGAUUCCUAAUAUUGGUAAUGUGAUGAAUAAAUUUGAGAUCCUUGGGGUUGUUGGUGAAGGAGCCUAUGGAGUUGUUCUUAAGUGCAGGCACAAGGAAACACAUGAAAUUGUGGCCAUUAAGAAGUUCAAAGACAGUGAAGAAAAUGAAGAGGUCAAAGAAACUACUUUACGAGAACUUAAAAUGCUCCGUACUUUGAAACAGGAAAACAUAGUCGAGCUGAAAGAAGCUUUCAGAAGAAGAGGAAAACUAUAUUUGGUGUUUGAGUAUGUAGAAAAAAAUAUGCUUGAAUUGCUAGAAGAAAUGCCAAAUGGAGUUACACCUGAAAAAGUAAAAAGCUAUAUUUAUCAACUAAUAAAAGCAAUUCAUUGGUGUCAUAAAAAUGAUAUUGUUCAUAGAGAUAUCAAGCCAGAGAAUCUCUUAAUAAGCCACAAUGAUAUUUUGAAAUUGUGUGACUUUGGCUUUGCACGGAAUUUAUCAGAAGGGAGCAAUGCUAACUACACAGAAUAUGUGGCCACCAGAUGGUAUCGUUCACCUGAACUCUUGCUUGGAGCCCCAUAUGGCAAGUCUGUAGAUAUGUGGUCAGUAGGCUGUAUUCUUGGGGAACUUAGUGACGGGCAGCCCUUGUUUCCUGGUGAAAGUGAAAUUGACCAACUUUUUACAAUUCAGAAGGUGCUAGGACCACUUCCUGCAGAGCAAAUGAAGCUUUUCUACAGCAAUCCCCGUUUCCAUGGGCUGCGGUUUCCUGCAGUUAACCAUCCACAGUCUUUGGAAAGGAGAUAUUUAGGAAUCUUAAGUGGUGUUUUACUUGACCUUAUGAAGAACUUACUGAAACUGGAUCCAGCUGACAGAUACUUAACAGAGCAGUGUCUGAACCACCCAGCAUUUCAAACUCAGAGGCUCUUGGAUCGUUCACCUUCACGGUCAACUAAAAGAAAACCUUACCAUGGAGAUAGUAACACCUUAUCCAACAGAACUCAAGCUAGCAAAAGUACUGCUGUACAGUCUCAUCACAGAUCAAACAGCAAAGAUAUACAGAAUGUAGGAGUUGGAUUGCAGAGAGAAGAGGUUCUUCCAUCAAAUGAAAGCUUUCUAAAUGGAAAUCUGCCUGUUGCUGCACAUAGCCCAAUGCUUUCAAAAAAGCCAGCUAACCCUCCUGGAUCUGGAAGCAAGGAUCUAGCUAAUAACAACAUCCCACACCUCCUCAGUCCAAAAGAAGCGAAGACAAAAACUGAAUUUGAUUUUAAUUCGGAUCCCAAAGCAUCUGAUGGGCCAGGUACAAAAUACUUGAAGUCAAAUUCCAGAUCUCAGCACAACCGUCACUCAUUUAUGGAGAGUUCUCAGAGCAAAACUGGCACGCUGCAACCAGGCGAAAGGCAUAGCCGUCACAGUUAUAUUGAUACUAUUCCUCAGUCUUCAAAGAGUCCCUCAUAUCGAACUAAGUCAAAAAGUCAUGGGGCUCUGACAGAUUCCAAAUCUGUGGGUAAUCUUUCCGAGGCCAGGGUUCAAGUUGCAGAACCAAACAACAGUAGGUAUUUUCCAUCCAGCUGCUUGGACUUGAACUCUCCUACCACACCAACACCUCCACGCCAUGCUGACAACAGGACUUUGCUUAGUCCUUCUGCAAGAAAUAACAGAAGUGACGGUACACUUGAAUCGCGAAGACCGUCCACAAGACAUUCCAAAACUAUGGAGGAGCUGAAAUUGCCAGAUCACAUGGAUGGAAGCCAUUCACACUCUUUAUCUGCUCCCCAUGAAUCUUUUUCUUACGGUUUAGGUUAUACAAGUCCCUUUUCUUCACAGCAGCGCCCUCAUAGACAUUCUAUGUAUGUGAGCCGGGACAGAGUGAGGACCAAGGGCUCAGAGGGUGGCUUAAGCGUAGGGCAAGGGAUGGCAGCCAGAGCAAACAGCCUGCAACUGUUAUCUCCACAGGUGCAGCAUAAGUCACUCACAAGAUCUGUUGGCUCCUCUCGUGAAGACUGUACAGAAGAUACCAGUAGGGGUGGAGCGUAUCAUGAUCAGCACACAGAUGAUGGAGCAUCCACAAAAGAAAAUAGACUUCUGUAUAAUGAUCCUGUACCUAGGAGAGUUGGUAGCUUUUACAGAGUCCCAUCUCCACGCCCAGAGGGAACAUUCCUAGAUAGUAGUGCCUCAAACAGAAUACCUUCGCUACCAGCAGAAAGUAGUAGUGUAACAAGCCACUCAAAGAGACAAACUGCUUUUGAUCCCUGGAAAAGUCCUGAAAAUGCUCAUUCUGAGCAACUAAAGGAAAAAGAAAAGCAAGGGUUUUUCAGGGCGAUAAAAAAGAAGAAAAAGAAAUCUCAAUCUACAGAAUCCACCAAGGCGGAGAAUCCAAGCAUCAAGAAAUCACUCUUUCCUCUUUUUAGUACAAAGAAUCACUUAAAGCAUAGCUCUUCUUUGAAAAAGAUUCCUGUAGUCACUCUACCUAUGGUAUUGACUUUUAAGAAUGGUAGCACUGAAUUAAAAACAAACAAACAAAUACUUCAGUAAAUCUAUUUUACUGACCACAACAGCAUGUAUUUUUCCCAUGGGAUCACAGCCUCUUCAUGCAAGCUAAGCAUCUUGAGCCAGUUCCACAAAUUCAAAUGAUUUUUUAGGUUUUCAAAACCUCCAAGAAGUGUAGCAUGGUUAUAUUUUGAAAAAUUAGAAAUAGAUGUUUGUUGCAAACCAUUAAAUGCAACAUCAUCUGAAAUCAGUCACAUGGUACUAAUGUUCAAAUGAUCCUUUCUUUAUAUUAUUUAGUUGAGUCUUCUUGUUUACAUGGUUUGCCAUUUCUUUCCUUCGGCUUAAGUAAAAAGAAGCUUCCUUUGAAAAACGAAACAACCUCUUAUUAACUUGAUUUGCCACAGAACUCUAUUUUGGUCUGUUUUUAAUAGCUUUAAUUUCCUUAGGUUUUGUGGUAAUUAGCCGCCUUGUUGUUUUGAUUGGCAGAAUAAAGGCUAAGCUCCCUACAUUUAAUGUCUUAACAAAUUUUUAAUCCUAAAAUUCAGUUGCUGGGAAAACACUAUCUAGCCAAUAAUUUCUCAUCCCUCCCCAAUAAUUCUAUAAAUACUCAAACCAUCCCGGUGAUCGGUUCAGCCAUCAUUUCCCCUUGCAACUAGUGUAGCAUUACUUAGCAAUCUGUGUGAUCAGAAACUUCAUUUUACUUUGGUGGGGAAUAAAUUGUUUCCUUGCACAAGUAAUGCACAACUAACAGCCUGAUAACUCAAUUCAUAUAUUGAUCUUUUUUUCUUUAGAAGAAAGAAAACAUGUUUUUUGUGGAGGUGGCUCAUGAUCUUAAGAGCAGUAUGGAAUGCUAUGGAAAUGAGGAUGAAACACAACAAUGCACUUAUUUAAUUGCUCUUUCUCUCUUACAGUGAUUUCACUAACAGCAUGUGAAUGCCUUAAAGGUGGAGGUUGUAACAAAUCUGCAUGGCAUCUACAAAUAUGCCUGGGAGUGAUAGUCAGGAUCUUUUGGCAUUACAGAAAGCUAUGCACUCAUCUAAUCACCCUGGCAGCAGGCAGAAGGAUUGGCAUUCUGAUAAGAUGACAGA